UACGUAGGGUGCGAGCGUUGUCCGGAAUUACUGGGCGUAAAGAGCUCGUAGGUGGUUUGUCGCGUUGUUCGUGAAAUCUCACGGCUUAACUGUGAGCGUGCGGGCGAUACGGGCAGACUAGAGUACUGCAGGGGAGACUGGAAUUCCUGGUGUAGCGGUGGAAUGCGCAGAUAUCAGGAGGAACACCGGUGGCGAAGGCGGGUCUCUGGGCCGAUACUGACACUGAGGAGCGAAAGCGUGGGGGAGCAAACAGG
rnacentral:rRNA from 1 species